UACGUAGGUGGCAAGCGUUGUCCGGAAUCAUUGGGCGUAAAGCGCGCGCAGGCGGUCCUUUAAGUCUGAUGUGAAAUCUUGCGGCUUAACCGCAAGCGGUCAUUGGAAACUGGAGGACUUGAGUGCAGAAGAGGAAAGCGGAAUUCCAUGUGUAGCGGUGAAAUGCGUAGAGAUAUGGAGGAACACCAGUGGCGAAGGCGGCUUUCUGGUCUGCAACUGACGCUGAGGCGCGAAAGCGUGGGGAGCAAACAGG
rnacentral:rRNA from 1 species